AUCAGUUCUUCUCAGUAGAGCGUGAUCGUCUGUGUCGGAGACGAAGUGGUGGUGCAUUCUGAUCAAGUUGAAAGGAAUCAAGAAACAAGCAUAACCCAGAAUUAAUUUGAAGGAACCAACUCCCUGCCUUCAGUCCAGUACAUCCCUCGCCUUCUGUCUGACACGAUACAAGUUUUACUUUGUCCUGGCUCCUGCUGCCUACGCCUUGCAAUGGAUGUGAC